GUUUUGGGUGAGAUUCGGAUCGCUUGAUGAAGCCCUAAAUCGAAUCGAAUUUCCAAAGAAGAUUAAGAAGAGGUAUUACAAUGAACAUAGAUUGAAACAGACAGAAGAAAAUACGAAUUGUAUUUGUAUAAACAAAAAAUCUAACUAAUAUUUCCUUUUCCUUAUCUUGAAGCUAGAAGAACGAAUGACAUCGUCAUCUGUUUUCAACUUUGAUUCUAGGGAGAAGAGCGAUUCUGGUUUGGUGAAGUAGGUGAAGAGAAGGUAGAUACCAUCAAGGUAUGUGUUACUCUCUCCAGCUUUGUUCUUUUUCUUUAUACUAUAAGCAAGUGGAAUCACUCCUCUGUUGAAAACCUCCACAUACAUCCCUCCACCGGCAACAAGUAACUGCAGAAUCAUCAAUCACCACCAUCCAAGAUAACGUAAUCAAUUUCAUCAUCUAUUCAGAGUUGUAAUUUUAGGUUUAGGUUUAGGUUUAGAUUUACCUCCUCGUAUCUUUCCGUCAGCCCUAACCGUUCUUCCUCUGACAUGUCGGGUCUCAGCACCACCAUUGUCUCGUACUGUCUUAAUCCGGGAGGACAUUGAGGUUCAUCCUUCUCCUCCACCGUUGCCACAGCUGAAGCCGCAGAAGGUCCAUCAUCCCCGUUUCUCCCUUCCUCGAAAAACGAUCCGGAGAAAUCCAUGGUUAGGGCACGUGCACGCGUGUGUCUUGCGAGGCAGAGACCACUGGCACUGACGAUCUGAAGAGGAAUCGGGAAUGACGGGAAGGAUCUACGGUGGUUAGAAGUGGUGGAGGAGAGUGAUGUGACGGUGGGGAUGAGAAAAGACGCCAUUUUCGUUUUCGAAUCUCAACGGAAAGAAGAUUUAGUUCAGAUAAGAGAUGCCUGAAGGCUGAAGCGGAAUAGAGAUAAGAAGAGGAGAAGAGAAUGCGGUAUGCUAUUCUCAAGGAAUAUUUUAAUUAAAAUAUUUAAAAUGUAAGAUAAGCUAGAAACUGGAAAGCAGCGGUGAUGAGAAGUGAAAGAUAAAGAGAGGUGCGUGGCAUCCUACCACCAUCUUUUCUGAUCGUCAUCGCAGCAUAGACCGGAAUGCAGUUGACGACGACGAAUCCACACAGCAGAAGCUGGAUCCCAAAUUCUCCGACAGACCCAUUCCUCACACUUCCGACGCCUCCGACCACCAAACCCACCAGACUCAUCCACGCGAAAACUCCAAUCGACACCAUGAACGGUGAAGCCACACCAAAAUCAAACACCUGUUUCUCGUACCGUCGAGUUUCAUCCUCGUCCAUCACCUUGCUGGUCACGUUGAACCCAUCACCGGUAGAUAACCCAAACUGGUUCAGCGAGAAUUCCACUAUUCCUGCAGGGUAGCACGUAACACCACGUACAAGCCACAUCCUCUGGUUGUUCCACCACUUCCGGUACGUUCCUCCUCCCAGUCUGACAAAAUCGAUGGCGUCUUGACCGUACGAUGCCAAGAAGAGGUACACGUAGAGCAAGCUCCAUGGAUCUCGCAGCAGGUUUGGAAAAAGAGGAUGGUUAUGAUGAAGUAGAGCUAUCUGCGGCAGAAUGCCGUAAGUGAUGAGAGGGAUAGACCAACUGCUCCAGAAGGAGUUGUGUGAGUAACACAUUCCGAGAAGCAAUGAACCGUAUUUCACACCGUAGGUUACCGGACAGUGCUCCGAGAAGACUAUUUCCAGAAGGCCGAUGAUCCAUCUCUUGGUCUGGCUGAGUGCAUCAUGUAGUGUUAUCGGAACUUCUCCCAAGAAAGCUGGUCUUUCUGGGUCGCAGAAGAUCGACUCCCAUCCCUCACACUGCAAUUGAUAUCCUGUGUAGAAAUCCUCCACCAACGAUCCGUACCGGAAUCCGACGGUGGAGCCCCACUUGGUACCAACCUCGUAGCUUGCUCCGGCUACUUGAUGAACCCUACCCAACACCUGAUCGGAGAACAGAGAAGAAGAAGAAGAAGAAACCACAGUCUGCUUCUGGUCGGGUGAGGAAUGGAGCGCGCGACGAUUGAAGAAAGUAUUGCUGCCGACGUACAUCGGACCUGUGAUUCCAUUCAUACCCAACGGAUUGAUCAGAUACUGUCGUUUGUACUCACUUCCGUAUAUAUCGCCAUCGUUGAUCCCACUGAAUCUCUGAGGGAACUGGACGAAGGCUAGAGUUCUGGAGAUUGAAUCGUCGAGGAGGAAACACAUGGCCUGGUGAGGUGUUGUUGGAUCAUUGGACUUCAUAUCGCAGUCAAGAUUCAGUAUGAACGGCGCAUUCGUUAUCUCACCGGAGACUCGGAGCAGAGUGUUCAGAGAACCUCCCUUGAAAUGAUGAGAAUAAGCUCCGGUCUUCUCCCUUGCGACGUAUAUGAGGUUCGGUAAUGGAUGGUUGGUAAUAUCCAUGUCUUUACUGCUUUCAACCAAAAUCUGAACAAUGGUUGGAUGUUCUUUACUUGUGAAUCCCGGAACCCAUUUCUCAAGACCACCGGAACGUUCUCCCACCGGGAUCCCAUUCUUCAUCGCCUGUUCAAUUUUCUCUCUCAUCUUCCCGUACAUUUUCUGAACACAGCCAAUCAAACACCAACAUGCCUUAGCUGUAGCUUCUAGUAUAUACAUAAGUAAUAUAACCAUAACUCACCUUGAUGUUGUUUUCUUCGUGACUGUUGCCGGCGCUGUUUGAAUCGAAGUAAACCUCCGGGCAUCUCGUCAUGAUUCCGUUCAUCUUACAAAACGGCACCCAAUGCUUUGCGAACAACGAAGCCUCCAUGAAGGCGAACAGUGUGAGAUCCGAUCCACCGUCGUCCGAUAAGUAUACCGAGAGUUUCUCCACCGGAUAAUCAUACGCCAUCACCGACAGAGCGGUGUUCACAACACCCAUCGGUGGCUCUUUAUACGGAUCCGCCGUGCAUAUGAACACGUCCAGACCCGGUAGAUCCUUCAAUAACAGAUUUACGAAUCAAUAACAAAUGAAAUCCUCAUUAAACAGAUAUGCAUCGGAAGAUGGCGACGGACAGACCUUGUUCGACAGGCGUUCUGGGUGAGGGUGGCGCCGUAUAGGACGCCAGCGAAAGGCUUGAGUGACCAGCCACAUGAAAGCGAGAACCACAUCGGAGAAGAAGAGGAAGAGAGUCAGACAGAAGGAGACGACGGUAAUGGAAGAAUGCAGCUGAAGAUAACGAUGGUAGAAGAUUGCAAGGAUCGCAAAUGAGUAUAAACCUGCAUGUAUUCGGUUGAUCGGAAUUAAAGGAUCUAUCUGUGAGGUAUGGAGUGGCUGCGGUGUUUCGAGCAGUUUUCCGCACUCACCGCCGGCGUCUUUCAUCGGGUUAAUUGGGGGAAUAAAAAAAACAAAUCUUUCUGACAGAGACCGAAUUACGUAUUUAUCAUUGGUCUGUUUAAUAGAUUAUCAAUUUAUCAUCCAAUGGUUUAGAUUGCAGGAUUGCAAACAACGACAAAGAUGCGGUGGAGAUUCCGAUCGAAAAGUGAAAUUACAAAUACAGCCCUGUUGGGAUAUUCUAUUUUCAUACUAAAACCCUUUACAGUUGGACGCAGCUCGAGAUGGAGAAAAUAAAUGCAGUAAUGAAGAAGGCGAGCUGGACAGACUUCCAUGGAAUCCUUCCAUUAUCCUUCCUAAAAACCAUGGCUUUGUAGAUUGGGUAUGAGUUAACGACGACAAAUCCACAUAGCAACAAAGGCAGAGUAAAAUCUCCAGUUUUUCCAUUCUUCAAAGCUCUCGCUGUUCCAACUGUGAAACCCACCAAACUCAUCGUUGCAAACACGGCAAGUGACACGAUGUACGGCGAAGGCGAAUCCUUCUCCGACGCCGUUCCGAAGUCAAAAAUCCCAAGCUUGUACCUCUCAUCCGAAUCGUAUUGCGUGACUUUACUCGUAACAUGGAAUCCGACGGUGGAUAAAGAAGAAGAAAAAGAACCCAUUUUCUUCAGAAAUGACUCCAGUAUUCCAACUGGCCAGCACGUGACACAACGUACCAACCACAUCCUCUGAUCGUUCCACCACUUCCCGGCUGUUUCGCCGGCAAGUACGAAAUCGGCGAGAUCUCUCGCGUACGAAACCACGAACAUGAAGAAAUACAACAAGAACCAUGGGUCGCGGGUGUUUGGAAACAUUUGGAUUUGGUGAACGACGGCGAUCUGCGGGAGAAUGCCGUAGAAAACAAUCGGGAUGGACGGAAUGCUACCAAAGGAGUAAUGGAAGUAAGCCAAGCGUAAGAGCGGAGAACAAUGUUUUAAUCCGAAGGUGAUUGGACAGUACUUUGAAAAUGCCACGUCAGUUAAUCCGACGGACAAUCUCUUUCCCUGCCUCAGCACACUGUCGAGUGUGAUCGGAAAGUCUCCGACGAAAGCAGCUCGUUUCGGAUUGCAGAACACCGAUUCCCAUCCCUCGCAAUGCAAGAGAUAGCCUGUGAAGAAAUCCUCCACCAACGACCCAUAUCGAAAUCCAACUGUAGAGCCCCACUUGGUUCUUCCAUUCACCUCGUAUGUUGCACCAACCACCUCAUUCGCAAAUUCCGGCACUGGCACCACCGGCAUGUUGCUCAUCAGAGAUCUCCGUCUGAAAAAAGUAUUGGUUCCGAUGUAUAUGGGACUUUUCAUGCCGUCAAAUCCCAACAUAUUCGUAUGUAACCGUCUGAACUCGGUUCCAUAAAGAUCACUCUUGUUUACUUGAAAUCUCUGAGGGAAUUGGACGAAGGCAAGCUUUUCAGCCAUGGCUUCGUCGAGGUGAAAACACAUCGCUCUUCUUGGCGUGAUUGGAUCGUUGGAAAUCAUAUCGCAGUCCAGAGUAAGUAUGAACGGCGCAUUUGUCAUCAAGCUUGAAACUCGCAGCUUAAACCAGAAAAAUAAGCAGUUAAACUACAGAAAUAUGCACAUAUUGUAAACUACGGAAUAUAGAUGACGAAAUUACCAACGCAUUCAGUGCUCCGGCUUUAAAAUGGUGAGGAAAAAUCCUAUUCUUCUCCCUUGAGACGUAAAUAACGUUCGGCAAUGGAUGGCCGGAGACGUCGAGAUCGCGGUCGGUUUUGAGCAAAACCUGAACUACAGAUGGGUGUUCCGCCGAAUUUGUUUUUAAAAUUGACUUCUUUAUAAUAUGAUUUUCAACCUUCUCUUUCAUCUCUUGGUACAAAAUCUGAAUGGUUCCAUAUGGGACUAUUAUUCUCUUUUUUUUAAAAGUAAUAUUUGACACAUCUUUGUGUAACACUAACAUACCUUGACAUGCUCUGAACGAUAGUUGUUGUUUGAUCGGAAGUAAGCUUCCGGCG
rnacentral:lncRNA from 1 species